GAUGAACGCUGGCGGCGUGCCUAAUACAUGCAAGUCGAGCGAACAGACGAGGAGCUUGCUCCUCUGACGUUAGCGGCGGACGGGUGAGUAACACGUGGAUAACCUACCUAUAAGACUGGGAUAACUUCGGGAAACCGGAGCUAAUACCGGAUAAUAUAUUGAACCGCAUGGUUCAAUAGUGAAAGACGGUUUUGCUGUCACUUAUAGAUGGAUCCGCGCCGCAUUAGCUAGUUGGUAAGGUAACGGCUUACCAAGGCAACGAUGCGUAGCCGACCUGAGAGGGUGAUCGGCCACACUGGAACUGAGACACGGUCCAGACUCCUACGGGAGGCAGCAGUAGGGAAUCUUCCGCAAUGGGCGAAAGCCUGACGGAGCAACGCCGCGUGAGUGAUGAAGGUCUUCGGAUCGUAAAACUCUGUUAUUAGGGAAGAACAAGUGUGUAAGUAACUAUGCACGUCUUGACGGUACCUAAUCAGAAAGCCACGGCUAACUACGU
rnacentral:rRNA from 1 species